rnacentral:tRNA from 1 species
GGGGGCGUAGCUCAGUUGGUUAGAGCGCCGGCCUGUCACGUCGGAGGUCGCGGGUUCGAGUCCCGUCGCUCCCG